CUACGGGAGGCAGCAGCAAGGAAUUUUCGGCAAUGGGCGCAAGCCUGACCGAGCAACGCCGCGUGGAGGACGACGGCCUUCGGGUUGUAAACUCCUUUUGCGGGGGAUGAUCGUGACCGUACCCCGCGAAUAAGGCUCGGCUAACUCUGUGCCAGCAGCCGCGGUAAGACAGAGGAGCCAAGCGUUGUCCGGAUUGACUGGGCGUAAAGCGCACGCAGGCGGUUGCGCGCGUGGGGUGUGAAAGCGAGCCGCUUAACGGCUCGAGGCCAUCCCAUACGGCGCAACUCGAGAGUGGCAGAGGUUCGUGGAAUUGCCGGUGUAGUGGUGAAAUGCGUAGAGAUCGGCAGGAACACCAAGGGGGAAACCAGCGAACUGGGCCAUAUCUGACGCUCAGGUGCGAAAGCGUGGGGAGCGAACCGGAUUAGAAACCCCUGUAGUCC
rnacentral:rRNA from 1 species